GGGCGCACGGUGGAUGCCUUGACACUAGGAGUCGAUGAAGGACGGGACUAACGCCGAUAUGCUUCGGGGAGCUGUAAGUAAGCUUUGAUCCGAAGAUUUCCGAAUGGGGAAACCCACCAUACGUAAUGGUAUGGUAUCCUUAUCUGAAUACAUAGGGUAAGGAAGACAGACCCAGGGAACUGAAACAUCUAAGUACCUGGAGGAAGAGAAAGCAAAUGCGAUUUCCUGAGUAGCGGCGAGCGAAACGGAACAUAGCCCAAACCAAGAGGCUUGCCUCUUGGGGUUGUAGGACAUUCUAUACGGAGUUACAAAGGAACGAGGUAGACGAAGCGACCUGGAAAGGUCCGUCGUAGAGGGUAACAACCCCGUAGUCGAAACUUCGUUCUCUCUUGAAUGUAUCCUGAGUACGGCGGAACACGUGAAAUUCCGUCGGAAUCUGGGAGGACCAUCUCCCAAGGCUAAAUACUCCCUAGUGAUCGAUAGUGAACCAGUACCGUGAGGGAAAGGUGAAAAGCACCCCGGAAGGGGAGUGAAAGAGAUCCUGAAACCGUGUGCCUACAAAUAGUCAGAGCCCGUUAACGGGUGAUGGCGUGCCUUUUGUAGAAUGAACCGGCGAGUUACGAUCCCGUGCGAGGUUAAGCUGAAGAGGCGGAGCCGCAGCGAAAGCGAGUCUGAAUAGGGCGUUUAGUACGUGGUCGUAGACCCGAAACCAGGUGAUCUACCCAUGUCCAGGGUGAAGUUCAGGUAACACUGAAUGGAGGCCCGAACCCACGCACGUUGAAAAGUGCGGGGAUGAGGUGUGGGUAGCGGAGAAAUUCCAAUCGAACCUGGAGAUAGCUGGUUCUCCCCGAAAUAGCUUUAGGGCUAGCCUUAAGUGUAAGAGUCUUGGAGGUAGAGCACUGAUUGGACUAGGGGUCCUCAUCGGAUUACCGAAUUCAGUCAAACUCCGAAUGCCAAUGACUUAUCCUUAGGAGUCAGACUGCGAGUGAUAAGAUCCGUAGUCAAAAGGGAAACAGCCCAGACCGCCAGCUAAGGUCCCAAAGUGUGUAUUAAGUGGAAAAGGAUGUGGAGUUGCUUAGACAACUAGGAUGUUGGCUUAGAAGCAGCCACCAUUUAAAGAGUGCGUAAUAGCUCACUAGUCGAGUGACUCUGCGCCGAAAAUGUACCGGGGCUAAAUACACCACCGAAGCUGCGGAUUGAUACCAAUGGUAUCAGUGGUAGGGGAGCGUUCUAAGGACAGUGAAUUCAGACCGGAAGGACUGGUGGAGUGCUUAGAAGUGAGAAUGCCGGUAUGAGUAGCGAAAGACGGGUGAGAAUCCCGUCCACCGAAUGCCUAAGGUUUCCUGAGGAAGGCUCGUCCGCUCAGGGUUAGUCAGGACCUAAGCCGAGGCCGACAGGCGUAGGCGAUGGACAACAGGUUGAUAUUCCUGUACCACCUCUUUAUCGUUUGAGCAAUGGAGGGACGCAGAAGGAUAGAAGAAGCGUGCGAUUGGUUGUGCACGUCCAAGCAGUUAGGCUGAUAAGUAGGCAAAUCCGCUUAUCGUAAAGGCUGAGCUGUGAUGGGGAAGCUCCUUAUGGAGCGAAGUCUUUGAUUCCCCGCUGCCAAGAAAAGCUUCUAGCGAGAUAAAAGGUGCCUGUACCGCAAACCGACACAGGUAGGCGAGGAGAGAAUCCUAAGGUGUGCGAGAGAACUCUGGUUAAGGAACUCGGCAAAAUGACCCCGUAACUUCGGGAGAAGGGGUGCUUUCUUAACGGAAAGCCGCAGUGAAUAGGCCCAAGCGACUGUUUAGCAAAAACACAGCUCUCUGCGAAGCCGUAAGGCGAAGUAUAGGGGGUGACACCUGCCCGGUGCUGGAAGGUUAAGGAGAGGGGUUAGCGUAAGCGAAGCUCUGAACUGAAGCCCCAGUAAACGGCGGCCGUAACUAUAACGGUCCUAAGGUAGCGAAAUUCCUUGUCGGGUAAGUUCCGACCCGCACGAAAGGUGUAACGAUUUGGGCACUGUCUCAACCAGAGACUCGGUGAAAUUAUAGUACCUGUGAAGAUGCAGGUUACCCGCGACAGGACGGAAAGACCCCGUGGAGCUUUACUGUAGCCUGAUAUUGAAUUUUGGUACAGUUUGUACAGGAUAGGCGGGAGCCUUUGAAACCGGAGCGCUAGCUUCGGUGGAGGCGCUGGUGGGAUACCGCCCUGACUGUAUUGAAAUUCUAACCUACGGGUCUUAUCGACCCGGGAGACAGUGUCAGGUGGGCAGUUUGACUGGGGCGGUCGCCUCCUAAAGUGUAACGGAGGCGCCCAAAGGUUCCCUCAGAAUGGUUGGAAAUCAUUCGUAGAGUGCAAAGGCAUAAGGGAGCUUGACUGCGAGACCUACAAGUCGAGCAGGGACGAAAGUCGGGCUUAGUGAUCCGGUGGUUCCGCAUGGAAGGGCCAUCGCUCAACGGAUAAAAGCUACCCCGGGGAUAACAGGCUUAUCUCCCCCAAGAGUCCACAUCGACGGGGAGGUUUGGCACCUCGAUGUCGGCUCAUCGCAUCCUGGGGCUGUAGUCGGUCCCAAGGGUUGGGCUGUUCGCCCAUUAAAGCGGUACGCGAGCUGGGUUCAGAACGUCGUGAGACAGUUCGGUCCCUAUCCGUCGUGGGCGUAGGAAAUUUGAGAGGAGCUGUCCUUAGUACGAGAGGACCGGGAUGGACGCACCGCUGGUGUACCAGUUGUUCUGCCAAGGGCAUAGCUGGGUAGCUAUGUGCGGAAGGGAUAAGUGCUGAAAGCAUCUAAGCAUGAAGCCCCCCUCAAGAUGAGAUUUCCCAUAGCGUAAGCUAGUAAGAUCCCUGAAAGAUGAUCAGGUUGAUAGGUUCGAGGUGGAAGCAUGGUGACAUGUGGAGCUGACGAAUACUAAUAGAUCGAGGACUUAACCAU
rnacentral:rRNA from 1 species